UGCAAAUGAUGUUUUUUUCUCACGAUGGUCUUCCAAGUCUGUCUGGCUUUGACGACACUGCCUUAUGGCAUCACUGAUGCAGCAGA